UCCCAGCAGCAGGUGGGGAGCAGAGGGACAAACUCCCAGCCUUUCCCAACACAGCAGAGAGCAGGGACAGGGACACACAGCCCAAGGUCAGCAAGUCAGCUGGAGGCUGCAUCCUUCUCUUCAAAUAAAGGGGACCUGACUUUUAGCAGAAAUAUUGUUUAUUGCUGUUUCUUUUGAUGAGCACAAAGUCUGAAGCCUUGUCAAACACCCAGUAUUAACUUCUGGUGCUGACCUAGAAAAGGAGCAUUGCAGAGAUUCUAUCUCCAUCCCCAUCCCUGCUGCUGUCCCCUGCUGCAGCAGGACUCUCCAGCCUGGUUUGGAAACUCACUGAAAUCUCUCCUGUAACACACAGGGGAGGCUCUGGAGCACCUUCUGCAGACCCCAGUGCUCUGAUCCUGGAAAUGUCUCCCCCGGAUUGCAGCAGGGGCAUUUGGGCAGAUACAGGGUUCACCCUCCUGGGAAGUGCUCCCAAGCAGAGCAAACGAGGCUCCCACCUUUCUGUGCCCCCAUCCUGUCUCCCUGUCCCCUCCUCCUGCACUGAAUUUUCUCUGGGGGUCAGGAUGACACACAAACCUUCUCUAAUCGUGGCCCAUCUCAUCCCAAAAGGACAGCUGUGUGUUGUUUCUGUGUUCUUCCUAUCUAUCCUUUCUCCUUUCCUUUCAGGUUGCUCUAUUUGUUGCUAUCACGUGGGGUUUUUUCCCAUAAAUAUUCUCUUUCAGCUCCUGAUACCUCUUUUUGUUUACCAGAGUCGUGCAUUCUGCCCCUUCUCACAGUAAUCUCAUCACCUUCAGGUAAUAUGCAGUACUAAAAUAGGUGAAGUCCUUUCUCUUUCCUCUGUGUGCCCAGGCCCAAGUUAAGAUGAGUUCCACAGGAAAGAUAUUCCUUUCUCUUUGGUAAUUUAAGAUGGAGACUGAGAGCCAAGGGUGCAACACUUUGAGAGUAACUCUUCAUUUAACAAAUCCAGCUGGACUGUGAGGAGCACAGAAUAAACCUCUAGCACUUUGUGAGAUACUUAAAAGUAUCCUGAAAAGGUGGAAAUUAUGCUUCUAUAAUCAAAAAAAUACAAGCAGAUGACUUUUUUCUUCUUCUUUUUUUUUUUUUUCCUUUGUUUUCUCCAUGUGGUAUUCAAAGGUGCAAAUAAAUAAAAACUGAUUUCCUGACUGAGUGGUGUGACUCUGCUCCUUACUCUUAAUACAAUUGAAAUUAAAGCUCAGAAACAAGUUAAAAGAGAAGGGUCUGAGGCUCACCAUCUCAUGGCUACAAACAUCAAAGCUCCUCUGAGGAAGGAGCUUUUGCCAUGUGAGAAAUCCUGGAAUUCCAAAACUCAAAUAUAUCAUUGAAAUAUCAGUCCUGUCACUGCAAACUUCCACCCAGGUGUGUGGUCAUACCUGCUUUUGGCCAAACUUCAUGUCCAAAGUCAUUUUCUUUCACCAGGAAACAAAACUUUUUCCAUUAUACUACUAGAAGAUCAGGCCCACUCAUAUUUACAUCUGUUGUACCAUUUUCAAUAAUCCAGAAGUCUAGAUUUA